GAUAACCAUUGGAAACGAUGGCUAAUACCGCAUGAUGCCUACGGGCCAAAGAGGGGGACCUUCGGGCCUCUCGCGUCAGGAUAUGCCUAGGUGGGAUUAGCUAGUUGGUGAGGUAAGGGCUCACCAAGGCGACGAUCCCUAGCUGGUCUGAGAGGAUGAUCAGCCACACUGGAACUGAGACACGGUCCAGACUCCUACGGGAGGCAGCAGUGGGGAAUAUUGCACAAUGGGCGCAAGCCUGAUGCAGCCAUGCCGCGUGUGUGAAGAAGGCCUUCGGGUUGUAAAGCACUUUCAGUCGUGAGGAAGGUAGUGUAGUUAAUAGCUGCAUUAUUUGACGUUAGCGACAGAAGAAGCACCGGCUAACUCCGUGCCAGCAGCCGCGGUAAUACGGAGGGUGCGAGCGUUAAUCGGAAUUACUGGGCGUAAAGCGCAUGCAGGUGGUUUGUUAAGUCAGAUGUGAAAGCCCGGGGCUCAACCUCGGAAUAGCAUUUGAAACUGGCAGACUAGAGUACUGUAGAGGGGGGUAGAAUUUCAGGUGUAGCGGUGAAAUGCGUAGAGAUCUGAAGGAAUACCGGUGGCGAAGGCGGCCCCCUGGACAGAUACUGACACUCAGAUGCGAAAGCGUGGGGAGCAAACAGGAUUAGAUACCCUGGUAGUCCACGCCGUAAACGAUGUCUACUUGGAGGUUGUGGCCUUGAGCCGUGGCUUUCGGAGCUAACGCGUUAAGUAGACCGCCUGGGGAGUACGGUCGCAAGAUUAAAACUCAAAUGAAUUGACGGGGGCCCGCACAAGCGGUGGAGCAUGUGGUUUAAUUCGAUGCAACGCGAAGAACCUUACCUACUCUUGACAUCCAGAGAACUUUCCAGAGAUGGAUUGGUGCCUUCGGGAACUCUGAGACAGGUGCUGCAUGGCUGUCGUCAGCUCGUGUUGUGAAAUGUUGGGUUAAGUCCCGCAACGAGCGCAACCCUUAUCCUUGUUUGCCAGCGAGUAAUGUCGGGAACUCCAGGGAGACUGCCGGUGAUAAACCGGAGGAAGGUGGGGACGACGUCAAGUCAUCAUGGCCCUUACGAGUAGGGCUACACACGUGCUACAAUGGCGCAUACAGAGGGCAGCCAACUUGCGAAAGUGAGCGAAUCCCAAAAAGUGCGUCGUAGUCCGGAUUGGAGUCUGCAACUCGACUCCAUGAAGUCGGAAUCGCUAGUAAUCGUGGAUCAGAAUGCCACGGUGAAUACGUUCCCGG
rnacentral:rRNA from 1 species